ACGAACGCUGGCGGCGUGCUUAACACAUGCAAGUCGAACGGAAAGGCCCUUCGGGGUACUCGAGUGGCGAACGGGUGAGUAACACGUGGGUGAUCUGCCCUGCACUUUGGGAUAAGCCUGGGAAACUGGGUCUAAUACCGAAUAUGAUCACGGGCUUCAUGGUCUGUGGUGGAAAGCUUUUGCGGUGUGGGAUGGGCCCGCGGCCUAUCAGCUUGUUGGUGGGGUAAUGGCCUACCAAGGCGACGACGGGUAGCCGGCCUGAGAGGGUGACCGGCCACACUGGGACUGAGAUACGGCCCAGACUCCUACGGGAGGCAGCAGUGGGGAAUAUUGCACAAUGGGCGCAAGCCUGAUGCAGCGACGCCGCGUGGGGGAUGACGGCCUUCGGGUUGUAAACCUCUUUCAGCCAUGACGAAGCGCAAGUGACGGUAAUGGCAGAAGAAGCACCGGCCAACUACG
rnacentral:rRNA from 1 species